rnacentral:lncRNA from 1 species
ACAUGACUGAGCGACUGAACCGAACUGAACUGAUAGUAGUUAAGUUUUUGGAUGCAUCUCAUGUUUUCUUCCCUUCUUCCUCCCAUCCUCCUGUAAUAAUUAAGUUUUUAACUCAAGAUUUCUCUAGCAAAAAUAGCAUAAAUUACUGUUUAUUUUAGUUAUUUUAUUGCUUGACUUGACUCCAUGGCUAGUGGCAAAACCCAUUUCGAGGUAAACACACAUCUGAUUUACCCCACAGUUGUUUCCCAAUAGUGCUGACAUUUAGUGAGUCAGAAAUCCAGUUUUGCAUGCAAGUUUUGGAGCUCUGAAAAAUUACCAACACUCAUAAUCAGGGGUGGGUGUUCUUGCAUAUUAAGAAUAUGAAAAGACAAAUAGAUACAGUGGUAGAAAAUACGAGUAGUGGUCUCUCACACAGUUGUCCAAGUGUCAGGAGGACUACUCUCAGGGACUUCACGAAAUAAUUCUACAUAACACAACAUAUUUUGUUCUGGCUUAAAAGACCUAAGAAAAUAAAAUAACCUUUUAGUAUCAGAAAGUGGACACUGUAGGAGCAAACUAACUUCUUUGUUAUGGCAGGAUGACACACUACUGUUCAGCUGAUGUUUCACGGUCUUCUUUGAAAUUUGUGGAUAUAAAUUGGAAAAAAAUUCCAGAGUUCAUUUCUUUUCUAUUUGUUUUCUUGUCUCUGCCUUCCUUCUGUUUUCUUCUUUUUCCUUUCUUAUUCUCUAUUCACCUCCCCUUACCUUUCCUUACUUUCCUUCCCUUCCCUCUUUUUUCCUGAGCGCUGUCAUGUGGGUCUCUGAGCUGUGUUGCUAAUAUUCAUGAUACACAUGCUAUAGGCAGUAAACAAGUAUGAGGGUAAGAGGGCGCACGACCCAGGGUAAUGGGCUUGGAGAAUACUUCUCACAGAUGUGUUAUUUCUUCGGUUGAGGAAACUGCUAAUAAUCUGAAAAGGAAAGACUUAUUUACUACUGUUGCUUAAAGUCAUGCUCUUCUUUUGUAAAUUUAUCUUUAUUGAAGUAUAGUUGAUUUACAACAUUGUGCUAGUUCAGGUAUAUAGCAAAGUGAUUCAGUUACAUGUGUGUGUGUGUAUAUAUACAUAUGUAUAUGUGUGUGUAUGUAUGUAUAUGUAUAUAUAUAUAUAGUCACGCUCUUCUCUUUCUUUUUUUGACAGAAGACUAACACA